rnacentral:piRNA from 1 species
UGAAUGCUGAUGGAUGCUCACUA